rnacentral:rRNA from 1 species
AUGGCUAGUAAUUGGAGUUUCAGACAAUUUGGGGAGGUAAUUUGUAGCCAAUAUCCUUGGGGUUUGCUUGAUGAAGUGGUUUACAAAUACUAUGAUGGGGGAAAGAAUUGGGUGACAGUUAGUAAUGAUGAAGAGCUAGCUACCAUGUUUGUUAGGCAUAAAGAGAAAGAUAAUUUCCAUGUGAGGCUGCAAGUUGAUGUGCUUGAGCAGGCAUUUGGACCUAGGAUGGCGGGUGCAACAUCUCGGGGAGAAUCAAGUCGUCGUAAUGGCAUCUCUAGCCAGAACAGUUCAGUUGGUGCACGGUGA